UACGGAGGGUGCAAGCGUUAAUCGGAAUUACUGGGCGUAAAGAGUACGUAGGCGGCUAUUUAAGUCGGAUGUGAAAGCCCUGGGCUCAACCUGGGAACUGCAUCCGAUACUGGAUAGCUAGAGUUUGUGAGAGGGUGGUGGAAUUUCCAGUGUAGCGGUGAAAUGCGUAGAGAUUGGAAGGAACAUCAGUGGCGAAGGCG
rnacentral:rRNA from 1 species